rnacentral:rRNA from 1 species
UAUGAACGCUGGCGGCGUGCCUAAUACAUGCAAGUCGAGCGAACAGACGAGGAGCUUGCUCCUCUGACGUUAGCGGCGGACGGGUGAGUAACACGUGGAUAACCUACCUAUAAGACUGGGAUAACUUCGGGAAACCGGAGCUAAUACCGGAUAAUAUAUUGAACCGCAUGGUUCAAUAGUGAAAGACGGUUUUGCUGUCACUUAUAGAUGGAUCCGCGCCGCAUUAGCUAGUUGGUAAGGUAACGGCUUACCAAGGCAACGAUGCGUAGCCGACCUGAGAGGGUGAUCGGCCACACUGGAACUGAGACACGGUCCAGACUCCUACGGGAGGCAGCAGUAGGGAAUCUUCCGCAAUGGGCGAAAGCCUGACGGAGCAACGCCGCGUGAGUGAUGAAGGUCUUCGGAUCAUAAAACUCUGUUAUUAGGGAAGAACAAAUGUGUAAGUAACUAUGCACGUCUUGACGGUACCUAAUCAGAAAGCCACGGCUAACUACGUG